CUGAGAUAACUGCCCUACGGGUAGAACUCACACCCUUGAAUACAAUACCUUUUGUUGCUUUGGCGGGCCCCAGGCUCCGGCACACCGGCUUUGGCUGGUGAGUGCCCGCCAGAGGACCCCAAACUCUGAAUGUUAGUGUCGUCUGAGUACUAUACAAUAGUUA
rnacentral:misc_RNA from 1 species